GAUGAACGCUGGCGGCGUGCCUAAUACAUGCAAGUCGAGCGAACAGACGCUGCGCUUGCUCCUUUCUCGUUAGCGGCGCACGGGUGUGUCACACGUGUAUACCCUCCCUAUCAUUCUGGUAUAACUUCGGGAAUCCGGCUCUAAUCCCGGAUAAUAUAUUGAACCGCAUGGUUCAUUAGUGAAAUACGGUUUUGCUGUCUCUUAUAGAUGCAUCCGCGCCGCAUUAGCUAGUUGGUAAGGUAACGGCUUACCAAGGCAACGCUGCGUAGCCGACCUGAGAGGGUGAUAGGCGACAUGGGAAGUGAGACACGGUCAAGACGACUAAGGGAGGCAGCAGAAGGGAAUCGGACGCAAUGGGCGAAAGCCUGACGGAGCAACGGGGCGUGAGAGAUGAAGGUGUUGGGAUCGUAAAACUGUGUUAUUAGGGAAGAACAAAUGUGUAAGUAAAUAAGCAGGUAUUGACGGUAACGAAUAAGAAAGCAACGGCUAACUACGUG
rnacentral:rRNA from 1 species